rnacentral:rRNA from 1 species
UGGGGAAUCUUGGACAAUGGGCGAAAGCCUGAUCCAGCCAUGCCGCGUGAGUGACGAAGGUCUUCGGAUUGUAAAGCUCUUUUUGGCGGGGACGAUAAUGACGGUACCCGCAGAAUAAGCCCCGGCUAACUUCGUGCCAGCAGCCGCGGUAAUACGAAGGGGGCUAGCGUUGUUCGGAAUUACUGGGCGUAAAGCGCACGUAGGCGGAUUUGUAAGUCAGGGGUGAAAUCCCGGGGCUCAACCUCGGAACUGCCCUUGAUACUGCAAAUCUCGAGUCCGAUAGAGGUGAGUGGAAUUCCUAGUGUAGAGGUGAAAUUCGUAGAUAUUAGGAAGAACACCAGUGGCGAAGGCGGCUCACUGGAUCGGUACUGACGCUGAGGUGCGAAAGCGUGGGGAGCAAACAGGAUUAGAUACCCCCGUAGUCCCUGAGCGGGCUGGCAAGGCGCAU